UACAGAGGGUGCGAGCGUUGUUCGGAAUUAUUGGGCGUAAAGGGCGCGUAGGCGGUGCGGUAAGUCACCUGUGAAAUCUCCUGGCUCAACUGGGAGCUUGCAGGCGAAACUGCCGUGCUGGAGUGUGGGAGAGGUGCGUGGAAUUCCUGGUGUAGCGGUGGAAUGCGCAGAUAUCAGGAGGAACACCGAUGGCGAAGGCAGGUCACUGGGCCGCAACUGACGCUGAGGAGCGAAAGCAUGGGGAGCGAACAGG
rnacentral:rRNA from 1 species